AUGUCUCUACUGGACCAUCAGAAAGGAAAAUCGGCGCGAUUGUCCUUAAGUGCCUGCAACAGCAGCAAACGUCGCCGGCGCGUCACUGUACAUGUAUCCAGCGUCUCCCCUGGUGCGGGCACGGCGGCGCAUUCCCCCUGGGCGUCGAUGAAUGAAGAUUUGGUUCGCCUGAUCUCUUGGCGGGUGCUGGCGGGCGACUUGCUGGACUAUGUCCGCUUCCGCGCGGUCUGCCCCCACUGGCGGUCCAGCACGGUCUGUCCACGCGGCCGCGGUGUCAUCGAUCCACGGUUUCACCCGCGUCGCUGGAUGAUGUUACCGGAGGGCCACGGCCUUUACCCGGCCAACAGCAGGCUCCGCGGCUACAUUCGCUUCUUCAACCUAGACUCAGGGAAGUUUGUUCGCAUCAAGCUCCCGAUCUUCAAGGACCACUGCAUCCUUGACUCGGUGGACGGUCUGCUAGUCAUGCAUAGGGAUGAAGACACAGCCAUUCGCAUCUUCCACCCUUUCACUGGUGAUGUCGUCGACCUCCCACGACUUGUGACCCUUGUGCCGCAGAUUAACCCAGGCCUGCCUGGGGCUCACCAUGUGCAUAAGUUCUACUACCUCAGAGGAGUAUGCACUUCCUUAAGUGUCAGUGCUGCCGGAGUCAUCACCAUCUUGCUUGCACUGCAUCGGAUGGGCUGUGUAGCCUACGCUACCUCCCGGGAUCAGCAAUGGCACUUAUCAACCUGGUCGCUUAUAACAAAUACACCCUUAUCGUUUCAAGGCAAAUUAUACAUAGUGUGGAUGAGCUUCACAUUCGAAGAGAACUCGGAUAUAUUCCAAGUUGAUCCACCACAGGAUGAUCAUGUGGUGGGCUCAGGUUCCUCAUUAUUACCAGAACCCAAGUUGGUUGCCACAAUUCCAACUGAGACUCUCACUCGUCCUAUCUUCCUGGUAGAAUGCGACUCACAGAUCCUUGUGACUGGCUAUACUGAUAGCUCCUGGUCGCAUAUGCUCAUUCAUAGACUUGCAGAUAUAACAUCGGAAAAACUGAUUCCGGUAAGAAGCAUUGGGGACAAGGCCUUGUUCCUUAAUCAUGUGAGGAGUCUGUCUGUUUCCUGUAAUGGGCCAUUGCCUACUGUUGUCAGCAACACCAUUGUUCAAGCCAGUCUGACAAAUGGGUCACUUACUGAGUAUAACCUUAGUACUGACGCUUGGUCACGACCUAUGGAUGGUUGCAUCCUAAGUGGCCCCGUAUUUGGCCCCUGUUGCCUUGUCUACCAUAUCUACACCUGCUGCAUUCGUGAAUACUGGAACAAAGGACAACUAUGCAAUCGGAAGAAAGCGUGCAACUGGCGAGUGAAGGGAAAGUGGCGCAGUGGGGUAUAG
rnacentral:rRNA from 1 species